GGGGGCGACACGGAUUCGACGUGGGUGCUGAAGCAUCAGGAGCAUUCCGGGGCGCAUGUGGACCUCGUUAAAAACAUGCAAAAUGAUAGUUGCUACAAACAACUUCGCACUUGCAGCUUAAUUGACUGCACGCUUUUCAGAGGAAUGAUAUCGGCCUCUGAUGAGUGUCACUUUAGAUAUCUCGGUUCGCAUUGUUCUCUCCGGGGUGCGAACUUAAAUGUAACUGGGGGGAGGGCUGUAUGAACUUUGUUUGUGGAGGUCACACAGCUUACUUAAAUCACAAACUAUGAAUGUAGGGCCUGACUGUGGAUCACUUGCGGACGGGGGUUCAAUUCCCCCCGCCUCCACUU
rnacentral:tmRNA from 1 species